rnacentral:rRNA from 1 species
UACGUAGGGUGCGAGCGUUGUCCGGAAUUAUUGGGCGUAAAGAGCUCGUAGGCGGUUUGUCGCGUCGACUGUGAAAACCUGGGGCUUAACUCUGGGCCUGCAGUCGAUACGGGCAGACUUGAGUUCGAGAGAGGUGGGUGGAAUUCCUGGUGUAGCGGUGAAAUGCGCAGAUAUCAGGAGGAACACCGGUGGCGAAGGCGGUUCUCUGGGCAUUACCUGACGCUGAGGAGCGAAAGUGUGGGGAGCGAACAGG